rnacentral:misc_RNA from 1 species
CGACCCUCAAGCAUAGCUUGGUGUUGGGUGAAGUCCCCCUUAUGGACCCUCCCAUAACUUGUAGGCGGUCACCGUCCGCACUCCCCCGGCGUAGCAGGCUUCACGCACUCGCUCGGGGAUAGGGCGAGACCAUGCCUUUACAAAACAACCAUUUCAAAG